ACGAACGCUGGCGGCGUGCCUCAUACAUGCAAGUCGCACGCUUCUUUCCUCCCGAGUGCUUGCACUCAAUUGGAAAGAGGAGUGGCGGACGGGUGAGUAACACGUGGGUAACCUACCCAUCAGAGGGGGAUAACACUUGGAAACAGGUGCUAAUACCGCAUAACAGUUUAUGCCGCAUGGCAUAAGAGUGAAAGGCGCUUUCGGGUGUCGCUGAUGGAUGGACCCGCGGUGCAUUAGCUAGUUGGUGAGGUAACGGCUCACCAAGGCCACGAUGCAUAGCCGACCUGAGAGGGUGAUCGGCCACACUGGGACUGAGACACGGCCCAGACUCCUACGGGAGGCAGCAGUAGGGAAUCUUCGGCAAUGGACGAAAGUCUGACCGAGCAACGCCGCGUGAGUGAAGAAGGUUUUCGGAUCGUAAAACUCUGUUGUUAGAGAAGAACAAGGACGUUAGUAACUGAACGUCCCCUGACGGUAUCUAACCAGAAAGCCACGGCUAACUACGUG
rnacentral:rRNA from 1 species